AACGAACGCUGGCGGCAGGCCUAACACAAGCAAGUCGAGCGCCCCGCAAGGGGAGCGGCGGACGGGUGAGUAACGCGUGGGAAUAUGCCCUUUGCUACGGAAUAGUCUCGGGAAACUGGGGGUAAUACCGUAUACGCCCUUUGGGGGAAAGAUUUAUCGGCGAAGGAUUAGCCCGCGUUGGAUUAGGUAGUUGGUGGGGUAAUGGCCUACCAAGCCGACGAUCCAUAGCUGGUUUGAGAGGAUGAUCAGCCACACUGGGACUGAGACACGGCCCAGACUCCUACGGGAAGCAGCAGUGGGGAAUCUUAGACAAUGGGGGCAACCCUGAUCUAGCCAUGCCGCGUGAGUGAUGAAGGCCUUAGGGUUGUAAAGCUCUUUCAGCUGGGAAGAUAAUGACGGUACCAGCAGAAGAAGCCCCGGCUAACUCCGUG
rnacentral:rRNA from 1 species